rnacentral:rRNA from 1 species
GCUACGGGGGGCUGCAGUGAGGAAUAUUGGUCAAUGGGCGAGAGCCUGAACCAGCCAAGUCGCGUGAAGGAUGACGGCCCUACGGGUUGUAAACUUCUUUUGUCAGGGAGCAAUUGAGUCCACGUGUGGGCUUAGCGAGAGUACCUGAAGAAAAAGCAUCGGCUAACUCCGUGCCAGCAGCCGCGGUAAUACGGAGGAUGCGAGCGUUAUCCGGAUUUACUUGGGGGAAAGGGAGCGUAGACGGCGGCGCAAGUCUGAAGUGCAAGCCCGUGGCUCAACCGCGGAACCGCUUUGGAAACUGCGAGGCUGGAGUGCUGGAGAGGUAAGCGGAAUUCCUGGUGUAGCGGUGAAAUGCGUAGAUAUCAGGAGGAACACCGGUGGCGAAGGCGGCUUACUGGACAGUGACUGACGUUGAGGCUCGAAAGCGUGGGGAGCGAACAGGAUUAGAUACCCCAGUAGUC